ensembl:ncRNA C43F9.18 ncRNA
UUUUAUGUGAUUAUUCACACCUUUUCUGUCAAUGCGAUUUCAUUUAUCCCCAUUUCUCUCUUUUAUUUCUUUUUUU